GACGAACGCUGGCGGCGUGCUUAACACAUGCAAGUCGAACGGACGAGAAGAGUGAGCUUGCUCACACUUCAAGUCAGUGGCGGACGGGUGAGUAACGCGUGGGCAAUCUACCCAUAAGACAGGGAUAACCACGGGAAACCGUGGCUAAUACCAGAUAACAUUACCAAGAUGCAUAUCAUGGUAAUCAAAGGAGGCCUCUCUAAAGAGCUCCUGCUUAUGGAUGAGCCCGCGUCCCAUUAGCUAGUUGGUGAGGUAACGGCUCACCAAGGCAACGAUGGGUAGCCGGCCUGAGAGGGUGACCGGCCACACUGGGACUGAGACACGGCCCAG
rnacentral:rRNA from 1 species